GUGAGUAGGCGCCACCCGUCUCCCCCCCCGGAAAGAACGGCCUGCGAGCGCGUCCAACUUCUGCGGUCGCGGCUUUCCCCGAGUCCAGGGGGAAGGGAAGCGCCGCGGAGCCCGCUCCCCCCUCCCCGAACGGCCUCCCUCGCAGGGCGCGUCCGCCGGGCCGCUGCGUCUCCGGGCGGCCCCGGGCUCCGGGACGGGGCUCCCCUCGGCGCGACCCCGCGGGCAGCAGCCGGGCCCGCGGCUCCGGGGACGCCCCGAGGGGGGCGGGUAGGCGCGAGGCUGUCGCCCACCCCCAGCGGAGGCGAGGGCGCGGUGGAAACGUGGCCGGAGCCUCGCGGCGGCGCCUCCCCCGUCCCCAUCCCGCCGAGGGUCCCGCGGAAACCCCCUCGGCCGCCCCGCUCGGCCCACAGCCCUCCGUCCGCGCCGAGCCGGGGCCGAUGCAGCCCGGGUCGAGCCCGCACUCCGCCCCCUGCCCCCGCGCGCCGCUGGCCGCGAGCCUUCGACGUGGCCUCCGCGGCGCCGGGACCCCCCCCCCGGGCCCUCCGUUCCACCACGUCCGCCCCCCGCCCCGGCCCGGCCCGGCCUCCUCACCGCCGCCGCCGCCGCCGCCGCCGCCCUGGGGCCGCAGAUUCGGCGGUCCCGACAGUCUCCGGCCAGGGAUCCGAGGGCGCCGCCUCCGCGGGCCGGCGCUUGGCGGCAGCGAGCGCGGCGAGCCUAGUCCGGAGCGUGCGGCUCCCGCGUCGUCGGGCGACCGAGCGCGCGCUGAGGGCGGGCGGGCGGGCGGGCGGGAAGGUGCGCGCGCGAGGGAGCGCGAGAGAGGAGCGCGCGCGCGAGCGCAGCCCUGAGGCGACGCGCGGGGGGCUCGCGGCCCGGAAGAGAGGAGGGGCGAUGACCCGGGAAAGGCUUGGCGCCGCGCGGGACCGGCUCGCGCGCCGCGGGGGGCGGGGGCGGGGGCGGGGCCGGGCGGGGCGGGGCUUGCCCGGGAGCCCGCCCCUGGGACCCGGACCGCGCGGCGCCCAGACCCCCUGGCCCGACGGCUGGGCCCGCAGCGCCUCGAGGUCCGCGCCGCGUGCCCCGCCGCCCCCGUCCCGGCCGCCGCGCCAUCGGGGUCGCGCUCGGGUCCCCGCGUCCCCCUCGCGUCCCCUGGUGCCCCCUGCCCCUGCCCCUGCCCGCCUCCGGCCGCGAGCUCCAGCCCCGAGAGGUGGGGUGGCCACCCGCGCCGGAGGGGAGGCCGCGUUUGUGGGCCGACCCCCGUCCUCGGGGUGA
rnacentral:lncRNA from 1 species